CAAAGAUCCCCAACACCCGCUCAUGCAUAAAGUGACCAUUUGGUCCUUGUUCUGGCCCCUCUACUGAGAGAUAACUCACUUUGGAUGUCUGGG